AAGUGCUGAAGCAUCCCUAAACAGGGAAGGGGACUCAUCAGCCAGCCAUUGUGCCCUCCUGUCUUCCCCAGAAGCAAGUGCUCUUAGAAGAUAGAGUAGAUGGGAAAUAGACGGUCAACUGAAAUGGGAUUCCGUGGUGCAACCUCCUCGAGGCCAUUGUCUUUGCAGUGGUUCAAUUGCUUUGGAAUCUCACAUGCUUCUGCAAGUAACCCUUCAUGCAUGAUGUAUAUGCCAUGUUAUCACAACAACAGAAAGGAAGCUAGGACAGAGUACAGCAUUGUUGAUAGGACCUUUACUGGGUAACAUGAUCUGUGAAUAGCUGAGCUGAAUUUCCCACACAGACUUUGUGAUGCCAGACCUGGUGAACUGAGAUGAUCUACUCUGUCCUAUCAAAGAAAGAAAAGAAGGAACUCCACAGAGAAGGGCUCAAAGGCAUCCGAGACCAUACCACAUCCAGGAAUGGAAAUAGCCACAUGGUCCAUGGGAAGGAGAGAAAUAGAAGCACCAACAGCUCAACUGCCUAUGAAGGAUUAUGCAGCUGAUUGUGGGACAGAGCCUGGUUGCAUAAUCAAGACUGACCCUAAAAUAUAGGAGACUAAAUAAGUCCCUCUUACAUCAUAGCUGCAGAAUUUAAAAGACUUGCAGGUUUUGUUCAAGCUCAUCAAAAUUCUGGAAGUAGAAAACUAAUGUGCAAAAAAAAAAAAAAUCCAGUCUUUGCAAAGAACAAAGUAAUAAAAACCAUGUCAGCUGUUCUACCAUUCCAGAUCCUGAUAACAUAAAACCUAAAAGGCGAAGUGCUGAAGACAUUUCAAGUUGUUCUUUUUAAAAAUCCAUGAAGGUAGCAAGCCAAGACAGUCUACAAACAGACAUGACAUAAUGGGAUUCAUUUAUGGAAAUGACAUAUCCCAACAGCACAGCAGUGACAUUGAUAUAAAUCAUUUAAAUCAGUGACCACAAUCUAAGGCUGGACAUGUCUUUCUUCAGUGGGAAGGAAGCCUCUGAAUACUGAGUUGCAACUGUAUUUGAAUUCCUUCUGCCAAGUCUCUGAUCAAGUACUUAUAGACUCAAAAUGUAUGACAUUUUAUCUGCGACAAUAAUGUCACUGGAGUCAAUAAAGUCAUGCUGAAGUUUCAGAAGGUACAAGACAAGUAAGAUCACCAACAAAAGGCCAGCUGGCUACCUUAGUCCCUCAGUUGUGACAUAGCCUGAAUCAUUUUCACCUUUUUGCAUCGAUUACUACAUUUUACAUAUUGUAUUCACUACUAUGAUUUUGUGAAGAGCUUGCACUUUGCCUCAUGAUUUGAGUUUCCUUGGCUCUAUAUCUCAAAUACAUUUUUCUCCAAACUUGCAGCAUCAAGAUAUCUGACCUAUUGAUCCAGCACAAAACUUUCCCUGAAAAUCAUUUGCAAUAUGUACCUCCAACACAAAGCCUGCCUCCAUUGAAUCCUGGGCCUCUAAAUCAUUACCUUAAAGACCUUAAGGAUAUCCAGAUUUCCAUUCUCCAGACUUCUUGUGAGGCACAUUUGAUUUAAAACAGCAUUAGAAAGCUUAUACUUUGUUUUUCCACUAAGAAACUUUUUCAAACAAUGGACUGUAAAUAUACAUUUCUUCCAAACUAUUCUUUGUUUAUAGACAAAAGUACUGAGAAAUUUCUGUAAUAAACUGAAAAUUACUUC